UACGGAGGGUGCAAGCAUUAAUCGGAAUUACUGGGCGUAAAGAGUGCGUAGGCGGAAGAGAAAGUCAGAUGUGAAAUUUCGAUGCUCAACAUCGAAGCUGCAUUUGAAACUCCUCUUCUAGAGGGUAGGCGGAGAAAAUGGAAUUCUACAUGUAGCGGUGAAAUGCGUAGAUAUGUGGAAGAACACCUGUGGCGUAAGCGAUUUUCUAGCUUAUUCCUGACGCUAAAGCACGAGAGCAAGGGGAGCAAACAGG
rnacentral:rRNA from 1 species